GAGUUUGAUCCUGGCUCAGAAUGAACGCUGGCGGCGUGCUUAACACAUGCAAGUCGUACGAGAACUCCUUAGCUUGCUAAGGAUAGUAAAGUGGCGCACGGGUGAGUAACGCGUGAGUAAUCUGCCCUGAAAAUCGGGAUAACAUUGCGAAAGUGAUGCUAAUACCGAAUGAUAUCUGAUUUGCGUCGGCUUUUCAGAUCAAAGGUGGCCUCUAUUUAUAUGCUACUGUUUUGGGAUGAGCUCGCGUACCAUUAGCUUGUUGGUAGGGUAAUGGCCUACCAAGGCUACGAUGGUUAGCUGGUCUGAGAGGAUGAUCAGCCACACUGGAACUGACACACGGUCCAGACUCCUACGGGAGGCAGCAGUGAGGAAUUUUGCGCAAUGGGGGAAACCCUGACGCAGCAACGCCGCGUGGGUGAUGAAGGUUUUCGGAUUGUAAAACCCUGUUCUAUAGGACGAUAAUGACGGUACUAUAGGAGAAAGCCACGGCUAACUACGUGCCAGCAGCCGCGGUAAUACG
rnacentral:rRNA from 1 species